rnacentral:sRNA from 1 species
UAUUGAAAGAUAUAAGUUCCACACGUGUU